CCUGUGGCUCAGAUGGUAAAGCAUCUGCCUUGCAAUGCAGAAGACCCAGGUUCAAUCCCUGAGUCAGGA
rnacentral:tRNA from 1 species